rnacentral:sRNA from 1 species
AUGCGGGGGCGGGGCCGCGGCGACGCUUGGUGUGUGGGCGCAGAUGGCGGCGGCGCACGGCGCCUGAGCGGGCCGGGGCCAUGAGCGCCGCCCGGCCCCAGUUCAGCAUUGAUGAUGCCUUCGAGCUGUCCCUGGAGGACGCGGGCCCUGGGCCCGAGUCCAGCGGGGUCGCGCGCUUUGGGCCGCUGCACUUCGAGCGUCGGGCCCGGUUCGAGGUGGCUGACGAGGACAAGCAGUCCCGGCUGCGCUACCAGAACCUGGAGAACGAUGAGGAUGGAGCCCAGGCCUCUCCGGAGCCGGAUGGGGGAGUCAGCACCAGCUCCCAGUGGUCCUUUAGCACCAUCAGCAGCGGCACCCAGCGCUCCUACAACACCUGCUGCAGCUGGACUCAACACCCUUUGAUCCAGAAGAACCGCCGAGUGGUGCUGGCCUCCUUCCUGCUCCUGCUGCUGGGGCUGGGUGAGUGGCCCUGA